AAUAACUGAGUUGAGGGAGAAUGAGAUGCACUGAACAACUUGGAUUUGUGGUCAAAAGUGGGGGUGAGUGGUGAACCACAGGGCCCACAGUGGGAACUCAUAGGUCCCCAAAUGGACAAGGAAGGUCAAAUCCAGAUCACUCAAAAUAUUAUCAGUUAAUAAUUUCACUUUUCUGCCUAUUACAUAAUUUUUAAUAGAACUAUUCGUAAAUGUGACAAAUUACUGAUUUGAGUUUUUCUUCUUCUCCCCUUUAUUUUAAACUUUUGCUGAAGCUGCUGGAGCAGAAUAAUAUAACAGAAAGGAAGAAGCUUGGUGCCUGAGGUCUGGAUUGUGGAGGAAGUAUCCUAUGGGAAGAGCACACACCUGAGAAUCUAGACUUGUAGCCCAGUUACCAUUUGAAACUCAGAAAUUCUGCAACCUUGGUAAGUCUUGGCCUUUACUUUUCUCACUGGGAUAAAAUAAUGGGAAUAAUUCAAUUCCAAAUUCCCUUUUCACUUCAGAAGUCUCUGUUGGCCAAAGAGCAUUAGAUGAAGACCAAUGUUUUAAUGAGGUUGGCUUCACUGGGUCAGCUCAUAUUUAAUUGAGCAUCUACUAUUGAUCUCCUGGUUUAAAAUAAUUAAAUGUAAUUGGGAAAAGUACUUCGUUUGUUGUUGUUGUUGUUGUUGUUGUUGUUGUUGUUUUGGAAGUACCAAGGGGAACCACCAGGGAAAUGCACCGGGGGAAUCCUGGUUGUUUCAUCAACCUGCUGCGACUAUGUUUUUACUAAAUCCACACACGAAAUCUCCCAGGUAUCUCAGUGCAGUAAUAAUGUUAAUAUUACAAAGACAUUCUCACUGUACCAGACUCAGCUAUCAUGUAUGUGAUUGUGGCAGGACAUUGAACUUCUCCAACUCUUAAUAUUCAUAUCUGUGUAGCGGUGAUUAUGAAGUCAACCUUGAGUAGUUAGAGUGAAGAGGAUUAUGAAGUCAACCUUGAGUAGUUAGAGUGAAGAGGAAGAUCCUACGCUUUCUAUACAGCAGCUGAGCAGGCUGUGAAGGAGUAUGUGAUGCUUUGGGCUCAAACAGACCAGGUUCAAGGGCUAGCUUCAUGGUUUCUUAAAAAUGUUACUGUUUGAAAGUUACUUAAUUUGUCUAAGCCUCAGUUUCUUCAUAUUUCCAAGCUUGAAAUUAGAUUAAUAACAUUUACUACACACAAUUAUUGUAUGUGAAGAGUUUAGCAUAAUUCAUGGCACUUGGUACAAACUCAGUGGGAACAAUCACUGUGCAUGUUUACAUUAGGUCAAAAAUUGCUGCAAUUACUAUUGUAUUGCAAAGACAGGGGUCUUGUCAGAAAUAGGACAAAUGGUAAUGUGAGAAAAAUUCUACCUAGAGGAUAAACUAUUACAUAGAUGUAACAAUUUCCCAAGGCUGAAUUUACAUAAUAAUAUCAGUUGCAAUGAAAAUAAAGGUCAACAUUGCUUUGAUUUGUAAAUUAUUCUGUUUAUUACAAGGACUUCUAUCUAUUCUAUUAUUUGUGCAGUUAUUUCAGUAUUUGAAAUGAAGGUAAAAAUAUUGUACUUUCUUGGCAUGAUUGGGAUUGAAUCAGCUGAAAGCACAUUUACUUUAGAGCAUUAGGUUCUUUGCUCAUGAACAACACUGGUUCUACUUAUUAGGAUAUUGGUGAGUAUAAUACUCCAAAUUAAUGGACAUCUGGGGAAACAGGUGUAGAGGUGGGACAGAAACCAGGACAGUGACUCCUGGCAGGGACAGUUUCUUCCUUCCUUAUGUCGGGAUUGAAUAGGGAGAAUCCAGUUGGCCAGAUUUGGAUCUUAGAAAGCCUUCCAUUCGGAUCCUUGCCACAGGAAGAAUCUGGCCAGAGGCUACUCCUGGCAUCUCUUUGCCUUCAUUGAGGAAGAACAGAUUGUGUGGAGUAUUUGAACUACUGAAACUACCCACCAUGGAGGAGGAGCAAUUCCUCCAAAGGAAACACAAGGUGCUGACUGGAUUUGAGGAUGGGCACUAGGCCAUCAAUAUCAACAAGAUUCCCCGACAGCAUUGGAGACUGGUUUCUACAUCUGAUACUGGUACUUGCCAUGUAAAUUACUCUACUCCUCCAAGUCUAAUGUAACAUGAGGGUGAUAAUAAACCCAACUCCACAGUAUUGCUAUGAGAUAUGAUACCGUGAUGCUUGUAGAAUGCCUAGCAUAAUACGUGUCUCAUAUCUACAGUAUAAUUUCUAUAAAUUAUACUGUCUUUUAUAAUUUUUAUUGUGCCUAUGUUAGAUUUUGCUAUAUUAGUCCCAAGCACAGUUACUUAUUAUGUGUUUCUUGCCCAAUGCAAAUUAGUAUUGUUAUCAAAAUAUGUGCUUCCCAAGAAAAGAGUUCGUGUCUUACUUUAAAUGGUGCCCAUUUGUUUUUUGAUGAUGACACUGAUAAUGACAAUAAUAACAGGGAGCCAUUGCCUUAGUAAUUAGCUUUAAAUACUGUUUGAGACUUUAAAAAUAUCUCUGCAAUAUGGCAUUUAUAAACAUGGUAGAUACUCAUAGUUAUGCCUGAGAUAUAGGCUUCCAUUUUCUUUCUCGUGAUCAUGAUGAGGGACCCUGAUGACACAUAGACCAUACUGUCCAUACAAGGCUCCUGAUGACAGAAUGGUUGGCAGAGACUGACUUUCCUAAAUACUUCGAUGAUUCACUUGUUCCAUUUUUAAACAUCAGCAGAUUGGCAUUGGUGACAUCUGCUAAUUUUUUGGCUUUACUUGUGGAUGGCAUGAGACUUCCAUCUGCAGUAAUAAGUAAGAUACGAUCAAUGUGAAGUUAAUACUCCCAGUCCAUGACCAAUUUGUAGUAAUGAGUCAGUGGCCUUGUCUAUUUUUCUGUUUUCCCUGGAGGGAUCAUUAUUUUUCAUGCUUUGGAAACAUAGUGGCCCAGAAGUUUAGUAUAAACUUGGUGACAUUCAUCUAGCUUCAUCUAAGUGGAAGUUGCAUUUUCUUCCUAAUAAUAAAUUAUCAACUCUCAGAUACUUUUGACUCACCAAUUGCAUAUUUAAGACCUUUUAUAUCUUUCCUCAGAUCUCCUCCCAAACCUCAUUUCUAUGUGGAAACAAUCUGCACAGAGCUGAAGACUAUGUUUAUAUUGUUCGUGCUUUAUUUCUUCCUGGUUCAAGAUUUUAAGAAGUCCUCUCAAAUGA